rnacentral:siRNA from 1 species
CCUGGGCCUAAGCUUGUCUU